CGAGGCCGAAAGGCGUAGUCGAUGGGAAACGGGUUAAUAUUCCCGUACUUGGUGUUACUGCGAAGGGGGGACGGAGAAGGCUAUGUUGGCCGGGCGACGGUUGUCCCGGUUUAAGCGUGUAGGCUGGUUUUCCAGGCAAAUCCGGAAAAUCAAGGCUGAGGCGUGAUGACGAGGCACUACGGUGCUGAAGCAACAAAUGCCCUGCUUCCAGGAAAAGCCUCUAAGCAUCAGGUAACAUCAAAUCGUACCCCAAACCGACACAGGUGGUCAGGUAGAGAAUACCAAGGCGCUUGAGAGAACUCGGGUGAAGGAACUAGGCAAAAUGGUGCCGUAACUUCGGGAGAAGGCACGCUGACACGUAGGUGAAGUGAUUUACUCACGGAGCUGAAGUCAGUCGAAGAUACCAGCUGGCUGCAACUGUUUAUUAAAAACACAGCACUGUGCAAACACGAAAGUGGACGUAUACGGUGUGACGCCUGCCCGGUGCCGGAAGGUUAAUUGAUGGGGUCAGCGCAAGCGAAGCUCCUGAUCGAAGCCCCGGUAAACGGCGGCCGUAACUAUAACGGUCCUAAGGUAGCGAAAUUCCUUGUCGGGUAAGUUCCGACCUGCACGAAUGGCGUAAUGAUGGCCAGGCUGUCUCCACCCGAGACUCAGUGAAAUUGAACUCGCUGUGAAGAUGCAGUGUACCCGCGGCAAGACGGAAAGACCCCGUGAACCUUUACUAUAGCUUGACACUGAACAUUGAGCCUUGAUGUGUAGGAUAGGUGGGAGGCUUUGAAGUGUGGACGCCAGUCUGCAUGGAGCCGACCUUGAAAUACCACCCUUUAAUGUUUGAUGUUCUAACGUGGACCCGUUACCCGGGUUGCGGACAGUGUCUGGUGGGUAGUUUGACUGGGGCGGUCUCCUCCUAAAGAGUAACGGAGGAGCACGAAGGUUGGCUAAUCCUGGUCGGACAUCAGGAGGUUAGUGCAAUGGCAUAAGCCAGCUUGACUGCGAGCGUGACGGCGCGAGCAGGUGCGAAAGCAGGUCAUAGUGAUCCGGUGGUUCUGAAUGGAAGGGCCAUCGCUCAACGGAUAAAAGGUACUCCGGGGAUAACAGGCUGAUACCGCCCAAGAGUUCAUAUCGACGGCGGUGUUUGGCACCUCGAUGUCGGCUCAUCACAUCCUGGGGCUGAAGUAGGUCCCAAGGGUAUGGCUGUUCGCCAUUUAAAGUGGUACGCGAGCUGGGUUUAGAACGUCGUGAGACAGUUCGGUCCCUAUCUGCCGUGGGCGCUGGAGAACUGAGGGGGGCUGCUCCUAGUACGAGAGGACCGGAGUGGACGCAUCACUGGUGUUCGGGUUGUCAUGCCAAUGGCACUGCCCGGUAGCUAAAUGCGGAAGAGAUAAGUGCUGAAAGCAUCUAAGCACGAAACUUGCCCCGAG
rnacentral:rRNA from 1 species